rnacentral:rRNA from 1 species
CCUACGGGGGGCUGCAGUAAGGAAUAUUGGUCAAUGGACGAAAGUCUGAACCAGCCAUGCCGCGUGAAGGAUUAAGGCCCUCUGGGUUGUAAACUUCUUUUAUCUGGGACGAAAAAAGGGUAUUCUUACUCACUUGACGGUACCAGAGGAAUAAGCACCGGCUAACUCCGUGCCAGCAGCCGCGGUAAUACGGAGGGUGCAAGCGUUAUCCGGAUUUACUGGGUUUAAAGGGUGCGUAGGUGGACUUGUAAGUCAGUGGUGAAAUCUCCGGGCUUAACCCGGAAACUGCCAUUGAUACUAUAAGUCUUGAAUUAUCUGGAGGUAAGCGGAAUAUGUCAUGUAGCGGUGAAAUGCUUAGAUAUGACAUAGAACACCAAUUGCGAAGGCAGCUUACUACGGAUAUAUUGACACUGAGGCACGAAAGCGUGGGGAUCAAACAGGAUUAGAUACCCCAGUAGUC